CAGAGUCGAAAUACUCCGUAAACCAUUGUGAACGUUACCUUAACCGUUGCUUCGGCGGGCGGCGCCCGGCCCUCGUGGCCCGCGGCGCCCCCCGGCCCCCUGCGGGCGCCCGCCGGAGGUAUACCUAACUCUUGAAUUACAUGGCCUCUCUGAGUCUUCUGUACUGAAUAAGUCA
rnacentral:misc_RNA from 1 species